rnacentral:rRNA from 1 species
UACGAAGGGGGCUAGCGUUGCUCGGAAUCACUGGGCGUAAAGGGUGCGUAGGCGGGUUUUAAGUCAGAGGUGAAAUCCUGGAGCUCAACUCCAGAACUGCCUUUGAUACUGAAAGUCUUGAGUAUGGGAGAGGUGAGUGGAACUGCGAGUGUAGAGGUGAAAUUCGUAGAUAUUCGGAAGAACACCAGUGGCGAAGGCGGACU